rnacentral:rRNA from 1 species
UCGGAAGGGGUGUAUUUAUUAGAUAAAAAACCAAUGCCCUUCGGGGCUCCUUGGUGAUUCAUAAUAACUUAACGAAUCGCAUAGCCUUGUGCUGGCGAUGGUUCAUUCAAAUUUCUGCCCUAUCAACUUUCGAUUGUAUGGUAUUGGCUUACAAUGGUUUCAACGGGUAACGGGGAAUUAGGGUUCUAUUCCGGAGAGGGAGCCUGAGAAACGGCUACCACAUCCAAGGAAGGCAGCAGGCGCGCAAAUUACCCAAUCCCGACACGGGGAGGUAGUGACAAUAAAUACUGAUACAGGGCUCUUUUGGGUCUUGUAAUUGGAAUGAGUACAAUUUAAAUCCCUUAACGAGGAACAAUUGGAGGGCAAGUCUGGUGCCAGCAGCCGCGGUAAUUCCAGCUCCAAUAGCGUAUAUUAAAGUUGUUGCAGUUAAAAAGCUCGUAGUUGAACCUUGGGUUUGGUUGGUCGGUCCGCCUCACCGCGUGCACUGAUCCGACCGAAUCUUUCCUUCUGGGGAACCGUAUGCUCUUCACUGGGUGUACUGGGGAACCAGGACUUUUACUUUGAAAAAAUUAGAGUGUUCAAAGCAGGCCUAUGCUCGAAUACAUUAGCAUGGAAUAAUAGAAUAGGACGUGUGGUUCUAUUUUGUUGGUUUCUAGGACCGCCGUAAUGAUUAAUAGGGAUAGUCGGGGGCAUCAGUAUUCAAUUGUCAGAGGUGAAAUUCUUGGAUUUAUUGAAGACUAACUACUGCGAAAGCAUUUGCCAAGGAUGUUUUCAUUAAUCAGUGAACGAAAGUUAGGGGAUCGAAGACGAUCAGAUACCGUCGUAGUCUUAACCAUAAACUAUGCCGACUAGGGAUCGGGCGGUGUUAUCUUUUUGACCCGCUCGGCACCUUACGAGAAAUCAAAGUCUU